rnacentral:sRNA from 1 species
GUCGGGUGCAGUGGUGCACACCGGUAAUCCAAGCACCUCUGGAGGCUGAGGCAGGAGGAUCGCAAAUUCAAAGCUAACCUUGGCAAAAAGCAAGGUGCUAAGCAACUCAGUGAGACCCUGUCUCUA